rnacentral:rRNA from 1 species
GACGCCGCGUGUGGGAGGAAGCUCUUCGGGGUGUAAACCACUGUCAGGAGGGAAGAAACUCGCCGUACCGAAUAGGGCCGGCGAUUGACGGUACCUCCAAAGGAAGCGCCGGCUAACUCCGUGCCAGCACCCUCGGUGACUGAGCGGGCUGGCAAGGCGCAUA